rnacentral:rRNA from 1 species
UACGUAGGGGGCUAGCGUUGUCCGGAAUCAUUGGGCGUAAAGCGCGUGUAGGCGGUCCGGUAAGUCCGCUGUGAAAGUCGAGGGCUCAACCCUCGAAUGCCGGUGGAUACUGUCGGGCUUGAGUACGGGAGAGGCGAGUGGAAUUCCUGGUGUAGCGGUGAAAUGCGCAGAUAUCAGGAGGAACACCGAUUGCGAAGGCAGCUCGCUGGAACGUUACUGACGCUGAGACGCGAAAGCUAGGGGAGCAAACGGG